rnacentral:rRNA from 1 species
GACGAACGCUGGCGGCGUGCCUAAUACAUGCAAGUCGAACGCAGGGGGGACGGGUGAGUAACCCGUGGGUAACCUCCCAUCAGAGGGGAUAACACUUGGAAACAGGUGCUAAACCCAUACUGAUGGAUGGACCCGCGGUGCAUUAGCUAGUUGGUGAGGUAACGGCUCACCAAGGCCACGAUGCAUAGCCGACCUUAUAGGUGGAGCGACAACACUGGGACUGGGACACGGCCCAGACUCCUACGGGAGGCAGCAGAAGGGAAUCUUCGGCAAUGGACGCAAGUCUGACCGAGAAACGCCGCGUGAGUAAAGAAGGUUUUCGGAUCGUAAAACUCUGUUGUUAGAGAAGCGGUAUCUAACCAGAAAGCCACGGCUAACUACGUGCCAGCAGCCGCGGUAAUAC